AGUCGCCACUCAAGAUCAUCAGCAUGUCUCUCCAUCGGGUCCCACGAUCCGAUAAUCGGAACCGUCCACGUUCUGUAUGCUACCCAACAUGGGCUAGGCUACUAAGGGGGGUCUGGAUGAGUGGGCCCGCAGUAUCUACAGGAUCUACGGACCUGAAGAUGGACGGUUUACGUCCAAUGAUCCGGCUAACUACUACUACGUGAACAGAGAAGAUCUGAUGACCUGCCACUCUAUUCAACCCUUGCUACCAACUCCUCCAUCUUCUGCAGCUCUUUGAUGGACCACCAAUCUCUCAGAACCGUCCAUCAAUCAAAUACUCCAAUCCUCUUUCUUUCUUUGAUGAAGACCCUCUGCUCGCGACUGAGCUCCUCGUGGCCCACUCAUUUUGCGGACCCAGCGGAUUCCUGCCUCAUCUUCGAAUCGAUCCACCGUUAGAACGUCUUCUUCCGGAACUCCCUGAUCAGCCGGUAGACCGUGGAGUUGUACCAGGUCCAAAGCAUUUCUGAUCAACUGCGGUGUCCUGACCGAAUGUAGAGUGGCACCAAAACUGUUGCUAAGGAUUCAAUCUGUGUCAAAAAAUAUUUGUACACUGCACUUAGUUAGAAACAAUUAAUUCACCUCUAACACAUAUUCUUAUUGUUUCUUAGUUUGAAAUAAUGGAACAGUCCAAAUGAAGUUCUUAAAAUACUAUGGAGUAAAAUAAAAGGGUGAAAUGAGAUUAAUUUAUCAUUGACUCGAGAUGAUUUCUUUCUUUCUUUUAUUAUUAUUAUUAUUAUUAUUAUUAUUAUUUUCUUUUCUUUUUCUUUUUUACCCUUACAUUUGAGAUGUAUGAACGCUGCCAAAGGAAUUGUGGGAAGCUUCUUAGAUUAACCAUUUCACUGCAAAGACAUAGGCCUAAAUAUCUAGGGUCCCCAUUUCUUUGAAAAUAUUGCUUUUUUUAAUUUUGUUAGCUUGUUAGUACACCCCACUGUCAGUUCACACAUCACUGUUAGCCACCCCCACUAGGGAAUCGAUACCAAGACCUCGAUGUUGAAAUGAGGUAUCUUCCACUCAGUCUACCACUUGAGCUAUGGAUCAGGGUGUAAAUAUUGCUUUAUUUGAGCAAGCUUGCAAUCUAGGAAUGAGUUAUGCUGACCAUGAACACCAAUUAAUGAACAGUGACAAGUAGCUGAAACCAAACUGUGGCAACUUCCCUUACUCUCUAGCCCAUGAGGAGAUCACAUGGACUGACUAGAUCCUCCACCCAUAGACAAGGUCACCAACAACGGACUUCCCUACAAAUAUCCCUCUCCAUUACAGUUUGGGACCAUUUCAAUUGCAACAAGGACCCCAAGUGGACCACCAUCCUCUUACUCUUCAAACAAGUAUUUCUUUCGAGAUUUGAACUUCAAAUCUCUCCUUAGUCGGCCAAAUCCACCUACCUGAGUAUGGCGGUAAUCCACGUCAAAAUGUGACACUGACCUCAUCAAUGCAAGAUUCUACUUGGUGCAUAUCUCUAACUGCUGAACUUUGCUCUCAUCAAUCUUAGUAUCAGAAGACUUAGUCGUUGGGGUUAGGCUUCAUCUGACACGGUCAGGGUGGUCCUCCUCCACCAAUUCCCUAUUGACUAUCCACAAAUUCUAAGCCUGUAGGAGAGGUCCCCUCAUCAUGUCACGCUCUAACCACUUAAUCCCCCCUUGCUUCUAUGGCGUUGGGGAUCCUAUAAAACACAUGCCGGUCACAUGCACCAACUUCCACCUGGCAAUGGUGGGCCUCCUCUCCGAACGGAAGCCUGGAGGAAGGAUGCAAUUGUUUUCAUAGCAGUUGCAAUCAUAUAUCGAUGAUGGCUAAAUUUGGCAUUACUCAGCAGCUCAGAUGAUGUGACCUACACUGAUUGGUGGUCACUUUCGUCAUAUGUGGACCGCUACAGAGUGCAAACUUAACUGGUUUGCUCUUGGUCAGUCCUACUUGGUUAAAUUUAUUACUAUCAUGCCCAUGCCAGAGUUAUAUGGUCUACCUUGGGGUUUUGAAUGAGUAAGCCACUCAUAAAUGUGAACCCAGUAGCCUUAGCCUUAGCCUUCAUACCCUUUGUCUGUAUUAGACCUCAUUAACUUCUGUUCAAACUACUUCCCACAUCAGGCUUAUUUCACCUUUCAUUUUGUAAUAUAUAAUGAUGACUAAAGUCUAAAAUAACCUGUUGAGGACCACCAGUACAGAUAAGCUUUUUAUUCUUGUGGCCAUAGUCUUGGAUUGAGAUCUCUAGUUGAAAAUCUGCCAUUAUUUUGACUGAGACAUUUGGUUUGAUGGCGCUGUGGGUCUUCGUGAAGCUCAAAGGAUUUGCCGACAGAAAAUUGUACGGGCCAUUACUUUAAACUACUAUUACAAAUCUAAAAUGACCUAAGGGUAACGUGGCAUGGGAAGUGCUCUCUUAGUUCUCUUCCUGUACUUAUCCCACUUGGGAUUUGGGGUGGAAGAAGCGAGAAAACAGAUCCUGCUUGAUGCGGUUCCCAUUUUCUGUCCUGCCCCAAACACAAAGCAGAUGGGCUGUGCUCAUCCUGAUUUGAAAGGGUUUCCAGACAAGCCCUAAAUGAUUUGCAAUCUAAUCCAAUUAAUCAACUCAUACCCAAUCGUGUGUUUCCAUGUUUAUUUAGGUUUCAUACUAUGUUAGGUACUGAUUGAUGAUCUUAACAUACAUCUGCAAUGGCUACUACUGAAAAUAGCAAUUCAGAUCCUACUCUUCCCGCAGAUGCCUAUUUGCCCGUGUGUGAUCUGGGCAUUUCAUCAUGCUGGAUCCAUCGUCUUACGUGCCAUGACCCAAAAAAUCAGGCCAGUUCGAUCGUCAGUGGGGUCCACCUGAUGAACAAACCAGAUCUCUUGUACACAUGCCUGCAUAGGAGAUUAGCAUUUUGGUGACUACUCCAGCAUUUCUCAUCCUAAUAUGGGCAUUAUUGGUAUUGGACUCUAUCAAGCUGUGGUCUGUGGUGCAGUGGCCGUUGAACAGGACCACUGCUUUUCAUCAUCCAUCCUCAAAAAAGAUAAAAAAAGAGAAUGUUAUUAUUAUGUAUCAGAAGCUGGCUCUACUUGGGCAGGCUGGAACAGGAAAAAAGGGUGUUCUUAGCUCCCACAUAUGCCACAUGGCAGUGGAGUGGUAGAUCCAGACUGUCCAUCAAAUGGGUCUUGCCUUUUGGAAGCUUACAGUCUUCCCAUUGAAAAGAUUGCUGGGGCAUGGUCCACCCAUGGUGGGCCCCAUCUGCGAAACUGCAAAUCUGGGUAUCCUGUGCAAAGACGCAGGUAGUCUGAAUAAGAUUCCUCAGGACAAAUGGAGGGUUUUUAAAAGGAGAAACAAUAAGUAACUUUAUAGGCUAUGCUGUAUACUAGUUGUGCAGACACCUCUGGUACACCUGCGAGCAUGCACCUCAGUCCAACCCAAAUAAAUCAGGGGCCUGCCUUUCGGUGAAGCAUAUCCUAUAAAUCACAGUCAUCCCAAGAUCCUGACUUUCCAAUCAAUAGAUGUUGUCCUGUUUAAUUUGGACUACUUUUUUGUUUUUGUUUUUUUACACAUGCACCCUCACACCCACACACCACAAGGGUACUCAAACCCAUGACCUCAGUGUUGAAACCUACAGGGUCUACCACUGAGCCAUGAGUAGGGACCUAAUAAUUUGGACUACUUAUCUUCUAAUUCAUCCAUUUGAUCCGAUCAGUUUGAUGGUUACGAUCAUUUGGUCGAUGUGAAUUUUCAGUCAUGCCCCAUUCGAUUCGGUACCACAUUCUACGGUUUGGAUUGAUUAAUGUGAGUGUGGGCAUGCAUGUGACCCACUAGAGUCUCAGGUGAUCAUAUUCCUAUUUGAAAAGGCCCUUCCAAUGCAAAACUCAUUCCUUUGGUCUUCUUUCUGUUGUUCUUGUUCUGAGUCAUGUAUUUAUCAGACAAUGUAAUGUUAUUGGAGUUAGAGAUUAGAAAAUUUUGAAGAAAAUAAGAUAGAAUGUUUGUUCGGGUCCAAGUUGAAAUUGCAUGGAUGGGUGGUGUGAGUUCUGAUUUGGGUUUCUUUCCUAAGAAAUGAAUUUGUAUGGAGGAGAUUGAGUUUGAGGAAGGGAAGUGAUAUGUAGGCCCCAUGUUUUUGACACACACACACGCCAUUGUUAUUGCCUGCUUUUGCGAAGAAAAGAUGAGCAAGAUUUGAAGGACCAAUGAGAAGGGGUGUAUACAACCAGUACUUGGGGUGAAAAUAUCAUUUAUUUUGUGAAUUUUCCAGCACUUUCUG